GCCUCCAUAUAAAUAAUCGGAUCCUUAUCGUUCUCAUCAAGUUCAAUGGGAUCACCAUCUUGAAUCAAAAAUCAUAGUAUCUGUUCGACUGACGUGGUACUCUAUCAGAUCUCCUUAAUGGUGCCUCUACUGGCAUUAAAUUUAAUUUUUUAAUCAAAUUUAAUUCUGUAUGUGUCGGUUCUUUCACCUUUUGAACUUCAUUAAGUUCAAUUUUAUAGAUAUUAGCUCCUUCUCUAAGGAACUUCUUUUAUAAAAAGAUUGUUCUGCUGCUGAUAAAUAUCUUUUGCUUUACAGAGAGGUAGAAGUAGUACCAUUUAAUUUUUUUUGGGUACUCUACGAACAUGCAUCUAUCGAACUUAGAUCCAAACUUAUCUAUCUUUAAAUGCUUGACAUAAGCUAGAAAUCCCCAGACUCUUUGGUGUGAGAGCACCAACUUACGCCUAGUCCAUAUCUCAUAUGGAGUUUUAUCGACAGACUUGCUCAGUACCUUAUUCAAAAUAUAGUAGGAGUUUCUAGAGUAUAUCUCCAGAAGGAGAUUGGCAAACUUGCAAAGCCUAUCAU
rnacentral:lncRNA from 1 species